rnacentral:misc_RNA from 1 species
UACGGAGGGUGCGAGCGUUGUCCGGAAUUAUUGGGUUUAAAGGGUGCGUAGGCGGGUCUUUAAGUCAGAGGUGAAAGCCCACAGCUUAACUGUGGAACUGCCUUUGAUACUGGAGACCUUGAGUAUCGUUGAGGUAGGCGGAAUUUAUGAUGUAGCGGUGAAAUGCAUAGAUAUCAUAAAGAACACCAAUUGCGUAGGCAGCUUACUGGACGAUAACUGACGCUGAGGCACGAAAGCGUGGGGAGCGAACAGG